rnacentral:rRNA from 1 species
CCUACGGGUGGCAGCAGUGGGGAAUAUUGCGCAAUGGGCGAAAGCCUGAAGCAGCGACGCCGCGUGAGGGAUGAAGGUUUUCGGAUCGUAAAACUCUGUCAGCAGGGAAGAACGGUCACUGUGCUAAUCAGCAGUGAAUUGACGGUACGUGCAAGGGACGCACAGGCUCACUCCGUGCCAGCAGCCGCGGUAAUACGGAGGAUGCGAGCGUUAAUCGGAAUUACUGGGCGUAAAGCGCUCGUAUGCGGUAUGUCAAGUCAAGUGUGAACUCCCCGCGCUCAACGUGGAAACUGCCUUUGAAACUGGCAAACUGGAGUGUGGGAGAGGAGAGUGGAAUUUCAGGUGUAGGAGUGAAA